CUCCGUAGCUCAGCUGGACAGAGCGCCUUGGUUCGCACCUUGGAGGUCGCAGGUUCGAAUCCUGUCGGGG
rnacentral:tRNA from 1 species